CCUACGGGAGGCUGCAGUGGGGGAUAUUGCACAAUGGGCGGAACCCUGAUGCAGCGACGCCGCGUGGGUGAAGAAGCGUUUCGGCGCGUAAAGCCCUAUCGGUAGGGAAGAAGAUGACGGUACCUGACCAAGCAGCCCCUGAUAAGUACGUGCCAGCAGCCGCGGGCAUACGUAGGGGGCACGCGUUAUCCGGAUUUACUGGGUGUAAAGUGGGCGCAGACGGCAUUGCAGGUCAGGAGUGAAAGCCCGGGGCCCAACCGCGGGGCUGCUCUUGAAACUGCAUGGCUGGAGUACAGAAGGGGCAAGCGGAAUUCCUAGUGUAGCGGUGAAAUGCGUAGAGAUUAGGAGGAACACCGGUGGCGAAGGCGGCCUGCUGGACUGUGACUGACGUUGAGGCCCGAAGGCGUGGGGAGCAAACAGGAUUAGAUACCCGUGUAGUC
rnacentral:rRNA from 1 species